GGACAACAAAGGAGUGCAUCUUAAAAGCUGGACUUGACUUCAUUAGAAAUCACCUAGACACAGACUCCGAUGAUGGCAGCACAAACAGCAGUCCCUCUGAUGAAGAUGACUUCUUUGCAUCCAUGAAAUCAGGAAAACCACAAGCAGGAGAGCUGGAGAGGUACCUUUCAUGUCCAUCCUCUGAAGGUAUGGAUCUACUGCACACCUUUCCUCACAUCAAGAAGCUCUCACUGAAACUCAACACUGGUCUUCCUGCAUCUGCAGCCUGCGAGAGACUUUUCAGUCAUGCAGGACUUAUGUUUACUGCUAAACGAUCACAGCUUCACAGCAAGAAUCUUGAGAGCCAGCUACUGUUGAAGCUUAACCGUCAGUUCACUGAGUGAUUCUAAGGGACAGAACAAGCACCACACAUGCACA